rnacentral:lncRNA from 1 species
AUUGAAAACUUAAAGGUAAUCAUCUAAUUUUUUUUAUAUGGAUUGUGAAAUACCUUAGUUUAUAUAUGAGCUCUCUUUGAUUUGCAUAGUUAUAUCUAAUAUUGUAGAGCUCUAAGUUGACUCUAUUUAUAAAUAUCAUAUUGUUACUUCAAUUUUUAAAUCAAGCACAUAUUUAGCUUCAGCAGCUUGAUUUCUUUGAUUAUAUCUUGAUUACAUACUGGACUGUUAGCUCAUUAUUGUAAUUCUUAUAUUUUUACAGAGUUUGAAGUA